rnacentral:misc_RNA from 1 species
CAGUGAAUCAUCGAAUCUUUGAACGCACCUUGCACCCUUUGGUAUUCCGAAGGGUAUGCCUGUUUGAGUGUCAUUAAAUUCUCAACCAUUGAACUUGUUUCUCUGGAUUGGAUGUGGGGGUUUGCAGGCUUCGCAAGAGGUCAGCUCUCCUUAAAUGUAUUAGUGGAAACCGCUUGCAGGAUUCAUUCACUUCUUGGCGUGAUAGUAUCGUCGUCAAAAGGUAGUGUCUCCGAGGUGUCUGCUCUCCAACUGUCCGUAAGGGACUCUUAAUGACUUGUUUGACCUCAAAUCAGGUAGGACUACCCGCUGAACUUAA